GGAACCUUCAAUAGCUGUAUUGUUGGCUCUGGGCUGUGGCAGGGAGAGGCACCAGGGUCUGCUGAAUGGGUCAUCUGUGCUCGCUGAGUCCUGAUGCCCAGAUCGGGAACUCUCUCGGGAUGCCUCCCACUUCCCAACUCGCCCCUAGCUCAACCCAGCCCCUACCUUUUGGCUUGCUGUGCAUCCCUCAGGGAUCAUGGCAGUUACAAGUCGGCUCUCUGUGCUACUGGCUAUUGAACUGUGGUCUUCUUUGUCGGGAGGUUAGUCUUCUCCUGCCUUCCCCUCCCGUUCACAUCUCCGCCAACCCUCAGACAGCUGGGAGUCUCCUUCUGUGAUUCAGAGAAACCUGAAGCGACCAGGAAAAAAACUGUCAUAGGCCCUAGUGCCCUGGCCUGCUGCAUGGACAGGUGGCCUCUCCCUCUCUAGGAGGCAGCCUGCUGCUCUGCCUGAGUGUGGACCCAGCCUCCCACUCCCUGAAGUUCAUCACUGCUCCUCUCAUCUCACCCCUCCCACCAGCAGACACACGGCUCAGGAAAACCUUGUCUUCUGUCCUCUGUACUAGCGUUUCUCAGCCUUCCUGGAUGCUGCGACCCUGUGAUACUCUUCCUCAUGUUGUGGCAACCCCCCCCCCCCCAGCCAUAAAAUGAUUUUCGUUGCCACUCCAUAA